GUCGGGGCCCGGCGCUGCGGGACAGUUUGGGGUUGCGGUGCGGCUGGGUGCCGGCGCGGCUCGCUGCCGGCAGGGCCGAGCCUCUGGUUACUGCCGACGCUCGGGUGUCGGAGGGCGUAAAGCCGCGUUCGGGCUCCGGGUGAGGUGGUAGUUUCAGGCUCUCCUGCAGCGCCCGUGUGGCUCGGUAGCAAGGGAACAUGGCUGCUAAGAAGCUGAGAAGAGCAAAGUUGUCUCAGGAGCUGUGUGAAAGACUAAGCCGCUAUCAGAUCACUACCUGUCAGGACUUCUUAUGUCUCUCACUCGUGGAGCUAAUGAAAGUGACAGGACAGAGCUACAGAAAUGUGCAGAAGCUUCUUCGGAAAGUCAGCCUAGCUUGUGCUCCCAAAAUGCAGACAGCUUAUGAAAUGAAAGUGAGAAGGUCUGUCAAUCCCUCUGCAGCCUUUUUACCCACCUCACUGCAUAGUCUGGAUAAAGUCUUGCAUGGUGGAAUACCCUGUGGAUCCCUCACAGAGUUAACAAGCCCACCGGCUUAUGGCAAAACUCAGUUUUGUAUUACAAUGAGUGUUCUGGCUACACUGCCUGUAAGCAUGGGAGGACUAGAUGGGGCUGUUAUUUACAUUGACACAGAAUCUGCAUUCAGUGCUGAAAGGUUGAUAGAGAUAGCAGGAAACAGAUUCCCUACUUAUUUUAACACCGAUGAAAAGCUAUUUUGCAUGACCCGUAGCAUUCAUCUGUAUCGAGAGCUGACCUGUGACAGUGUACUGAAGAGAAUUAAGUCUUUAGAAGAAGAAAUUAUUUCAAAGAAGAUUAAACUCAUAAUAAUUGACUCUGUAGCUUCAGUUGUCAGAAAAGAGUUUGACACAAAACUCCAAGGCAAUCUGGCAGAGAGAAGUAACUUUUUGGCUAGAGGAGCAUCACUGUUGAAGUAUUUGGCAGAGGAGUUCUCAAUACCAGUUAUCUUGACGAAUCAGAUUACCACAUCAUUGAGCAAUGGCCUUGCAAUCCCAGCAGACCUAGUGUCUCCAGCUUAUGAUUUGUCCCUGUCUGAAGAGCAGAGUCUCUUCCAGUGUCACUGGUGGUGCCCUGAAGAGCCCGAUUUCACAGGAGACAGCAGAACAGUUUCAGGAGCUUCUGGAAGCGGGAAGAGGGAAUCUGCUUGUGUGACAGCAGCCCUUGGCAACACAUGGAGUCACAGUGUCAACACCAGGCUCAUUCUGCAAUAUCAUGACUUGCUGACACGGCAGAUCCUGGUUGCAAAAUCCCCUGUUGCUCCAUUUUCCACAUUCUUCUACACCAUUGAGAAAUCAGGCUUUGUUCUUCAAGAGCACGCAUAUUUGUGCGCACAGCCACGCUCACAUUGCCUGUGAUGUCUUAUGAAGGAGGACAAGUUCUCGAGUUGAAACAUGGCACUCUGGGGAGAGUUUUUUUUUAGUUUUUCAGUUUUACAGUACUAAAGAGCAAGAGUUCUAGAAACAGCUAAAUCUCGGGAAACCUUGUUACUUUACAUUGUUUCGUUUGUCACUAAUGUAAUGAAAGAAGCUCAUUUUGGUCUCAAAAUAGCACAGUCUGGGUUUCUAGUGCUGCAUGGCAAACGGUCUCUGAAGUGCUAUAACUAAUUUAUGUGGCUGAAGCAAGUGAAAAGUGCCCCAUUUUAUUUUGUAAAGAAAUGUUUUGGUAAUGAGUAGUGAGGUAGAAAGAGAAUUCUGAAAGAAAGGGCAGCAUUAUUUGUAUUGUAUUGUGUGAGUCUGAACAGUGAGAGACAAUGAUUUACUGCAUCAAAAGCUUUCAUUCAAUUGAAGAACUGUAACUAUAAAGUGACCUUUGUCUGGAACAACAUGGAUAUAAUCUGUAAAAUGAAACAGGGUUGUACUUGAUGUGUGAAUGGAUAGAAGACAGAUUAAUGGGAAUGAAGUUGUGCUUUGCUGUUGAGAUGGUAACAGAUUUGCAGUGCCACUGGUAAUUUCCGGCCCUAUUGGAGGGAUAAAGAUGAACUGAUCAUUGUUAGGAUCUCUGUGGGGUGGAACAGUUUUUGCUGAAUUCCCCACAGGAUACUGAAAGGCUCAUGCUACUUGUAACAGUUUUAUAAUAAUGGGAGCAACAAAGCAUGAUUGGUUUGUAGGCUAGGUCUGUCCUGACAGUAAGGAAUGUGGAAAGAAUAAGGCCCCCAUCAUUCCUAUGCCAGUAAUCACCCAUAUUGAUGCGGCUGACAUAAACAAAAAAAUCCAGUUAGUUCUUGGCAUCCUGGAGAGUGGAUCAUUAAACCUGACCCAAGAAUGCUGGUCACUUAGAUGAGAGCAUCCUUGCUAGGUGACUUUGCAAGAAUUGCUCUGUUGCUCUGCAGCUGCAGUGGUGAAGCCUCACUGGAGUACCCCAGCUCCUUGUCUGUCACAUGAAGGAGUCCAGAGGAACAAAGCACAGAUACAAAAACAAUGAAAAACAGUAAUGAAGAGAGGUGGAGGGAUUUUUUUUAACUGUGAAGGAAGACGAGAGGUAUCUUGGGUUUAGAUCCAGUAGAAACAAAAUAAACCCUGUCAUUUUAGUAAGUUUAAAUGUUUUCCUCUGCAAAAGUGGUCUUUCUAUCUGUGUGGUAGAUAGACAAGAGGUAGUUAAGUUUCUGGCCAAACUUUUUGCUGAGACUGUAACUUACAGGAGGAUGUUAUACUGAAUAAAUCCAGUUUAUCACAAAGUACUGAAGUGUCUCCUUAUUUCUGAAUACAUAUGUAAAGACACUGAAAAUAAUAGUACAGCUCUCUUGCAGUGAAAGCCAAACAUAACCCUAAAUGAUGACAACCAACAUAACAGCAUUUCAUUUUUCUUGUUUUUCUAAACGUAAUAUGAAAAAAGCAAUGUGUCAAAUCCAUUCUCAUUUGCACGAGUGUUAAUCAAAACUAAUUUAUUUUAACCCAGUGUUUAAAAAAAAAAAAAAAGAGUAUGAGUCUCAUUUGCAAAGAUGCAGCCUCUGUUCAAGACUGGCCUGUACUGCAGGCUUCUUGGGACAAAAUGGUCUCACAUCAGAGGAAUCAUUUCCUUACUAGUCUUGCAGUAAUGAAUUCCUGAUCAAAGUGGGUUGCUCCCCUGUGUUUUCGGUGCAGUGCUAAAGCAAAUGGCCUCUUUUCCAAAAGGCUUUUAACAUAAGGAGUGAAUGUGCACGUUGAUUAGAGGUAGUACCUGUGAUUUGUGACAUUAUACUGUUCUGGGAACUGAGUUUUCUCAUAGAAGUCCAAGAUUCUACUAUUGAUUGCCUGCUUUUGACAGAUGAUGUUACAUCUUUCAAGCUACAGAUUUGUAUAAUAAGGACAAAUGCACUUACAGGAGACUUAAUGUUCUUAAGCAAACACAUUUGUGAGUACAAGGCCAAGAAACUGUCUGUCUGAAAACAUGUUUUUCAGCCAGAAUGAAGUCGUAUGUUUUUGUGUGCAACUUAUGAAGGUAAGAGGCAGUUAAUUGUUACUGUGACUGAUCCCUUUCUCACAUAGGCAUAACUAGAUUUCUUUUACAGUUCUCAAAGUUUAUGUCUGUUCUGGCAUUUUGCAUUGCUACUAACAUGCUUCUUGAAGCCACCACUACCUUUAUUUGAUCCUGUAAACUGAUAGUUAAUGAUAGAGGACUAUGUCUAAAUGACUUAGCCUUUGUAGUAUAUACAAUGCUUCUUUUGCUGUGGGACUCGAUGUGUUCUGAGCAUUAAAAUCAGAGUGUACAGUUCAGUUGCCAAAGGGAACUGCUGGAAUCUGUGUCGUUCCUCGUGCUAAGGAGGGGAGAGCGGUGCAAAGAUCCAGCGGUUAGCUCCAGUCUAAACCUGUACGUCUCCACAGUGCUGUGUAGACAGGCACAUUUGAAUAGCACUUCACAGAAAUGGGAAAGCUUUGCCUGAGGGGAGGCUUAUUAGCACAGGGAUAGCGCUUGCAAACAAGGUUCCUGUUGCUUUAGCCCCAGCGCUAUUUGUCUUUGAAAAUUUCUGUGUUUCUAGGAUUAGUACUGUAAGAACAACCUCAGGUAUCUCAGCAUCUGAUGUGUAGAUUUGCCUUGUCUUCAAAACUGGAAUAACCACAGAAUUUAAAUGAUUUUAUCAUGUAGGCUUCAAUCUCUGUUAUGAGAUGAAAAAGGAAUAUAUGGCACUUGAAUGCAGACAGACACAUGUGAUACACCCUUCCAACAAACAGGUUUUUACUUCAAAAGGUUUUUUCUCAUUACAGUCUUUCCCUAAAAUUAAUAACAUUGGGUGGUUUUGUAAAGUGUUUUCUGUUAUAUUUACUUGAACUUCUAAAUAUUUGUCAGCUCCUUUUCUCUACCUUUCCGUGUUCAUAAAAGAUGAAGAUAAAAGGUAAUGUACUAGCUGAGAUUUUGUAACCAUGCAAGUGUUGCUGUUUGUAAAAGGCAAAUCUCCGUAUCAUAAUCAAGCAUGGGCCGUGGAGCAUUGUGGAUACCUAGUAAAAAGCCAAAAAAACCUGCACUAUAGACAUACCCCACUAAAAUAGACUGGACAUUAGUAACAAAGACUUGCAAGAGACAGUACAAUGACAAGCUAUAAAAUAUUAUUUACCUACAGAAUUUGAGUGAUUAAUGUAGUUUACAGUAGGUCUGAGUGUAAUACUAGUUAUAUGGUGUUAGUGAUGGUUAUGGCGUUUCUUCUCAUUGUUAGUGUUGUGAUGAAAUCAAAAUCUGGCCCUUUGUCAUUCAGUUCUGUGAAGACCCUUGAAAAAUUUGAGAGAUCAAGUUUCAGGACUGGAUUGAGUUAACCAAGGGCUAGAGAGAGAAGAGAGAGAACGGUUUGUUGGAGCAUAGUGGGUUUGUUAGAGCAUGGUGUCAGCCCUGGCCCUCCUUUGUUUGCUGCCUGAAUAACUCUCCAGGAUCUGCCUGAGGUGUAGCCAGCCAAGGCAAGUUAGAGCACGUGUUGCUGCGUGAGUGAAGAGGCAACACAGCAAGGUUAUGCUAGAAUUUACGGUUUAUCAAGAGAUGUGUCUGAGACUGGUAAGGAAUAUUUCAAGUCAACAUGAGGCAAUCAACAUGCUGAAAAGAUUUUGCUAUACUUUCCAGUGGAUCUGACUUUAUUUUGACUUCCUAGUUUUUCCAUUACAGAAACAAUAUCUUGUAUUAGUCCGAAGCCCUGUGAAGGUGCACUCCCCAGAAGCAGCAGCAGAGAUGUGGGGAGUGACGUUUCUAAAAUAUGUGCCGUGACUGUAAGAGCACUCUCAAAGCUGUCUGUGAUAGAGGGACCGCUCAGUGCCGUGUGCCAUUCUGGAAACUGCAGCUGCAGGAUGUGCAUUGCUGAGUGAGUAAGCUUAGAAUAGGCUUCUGUCCUAGAAGUCUGGUGUCCUGAGUCCAGACUUUGCACUCCUGUAGAUGUUCUUAGUUCUUUUGCUUAGCAGCGUAUAGAAAACAUCACUUUCUUCCCUUAGGCUGCAUGCAUUUAAUGAAGGAAUUCAGUCCUGAAGCAUGUCAGGUUGGAACUGUGUACUGCAACUAAGUCAGUUUUCAAUGAGAAAUACCCUUCUUUGGACUUCUUAAUUCCAUAUUUUUGCAAAGAGUGAAUUACCCAGAGCAAGCUAUGGGUCAGCCAGCCAUGUAUGUUGUAGCUACUUGUUUGUAGACUGUAUCCUGUCUGCCCUGAUCAUUUGCUGGGGUUCACCCAAGAGCAGCACAUCCUGUUUGUUUCGUUUUCUUUUGUCUGCCCUGUACCAGCACAGGGAGAAUAUUCCUAUAUAUCUUUUCUUUGCUGCUCUGCAAUUGGAUCACAGUACUCAUGAUUGUGUUCAAUAGCUGGAAAUGCUGAGGAUAUCCGAUUGCUGAGAUCUCUUAUUUUAAACUCCAUAUGCCAGGAAAAGUAUGUGGGAUCCCACCAGCUUAGCACUGGAGGGUGCAGGAUGCACCAACAGGAAAACCAAACAAAACAUGAAGUGAAAUUCAUUUGGAAAGGGAAGGGACACAUAUACCACCCAUCAGCAAUGUUUAAACUAUUCGUGUCCACACAAUAGGCCUUUUAUUUUCCUUGAGUUCUACUAAAGAUGCAAACUAUCUUGACUUGAUUUUUAGAGGGGCAGUUGUCACUAAAGUCAGUGGGAGCUGCAGGUGCUUGUUACCUUUGAAAAUCAAGCCAGCAUAUUCUAAUGAGACAGCAAAAGCCAAAACUGCUAAAUGGGAGUGGUUGAACUGUAACUCUUAGUCCUGUAACGUGAUUCCCAGCCACCUUCAUAUGUGAUACAGAGGCACAGCCUCAUGCUGUGUACACCAGAGCCCAGAGGUGAAUUGCUUUUUCUCUGCCCUUGGGCCCUCUCCUUCUGCAAAGUGUGGCCUGAAUUUAACAGAGCUAACUUGUGUUCAUCCAGAAUACUUCAGUUUCCCUGUGAAACGUGUGCUCUGCAUUUUUCUCCUCAACAGAGACUAGACAGUACUGGGGAGUGGUCGGUUCCCAUACAGACAUGUAGCCUCCUGCCCACCAUAACCACAGAGUGCUCUUGCAGCCACCUCAAGCAAAGCUGGAUUUUCACUUUGAAGUUUUUUGUGCCCUGGGAGAAGUUCCUAAGCAGCAGCCACAAGCCAGAGCAAGGCCACAUCUCUGCUCUGUGAAACAAACUGAAUUUUGCUGUCAAGUCCGAGAGUGAGGGGAGAAGGGCAGCACUCCAGCUGGGCCCAGCUGCCAGAGCUCAGCAAGGACACUGCUCAUUACCGCAGCACUCAAGGGCACAGGAAAUUCAGUGUACAAAUGCAGUCUGCAGAGGGGGUAAAUAAGCUUACCCACCUGAGGGCUGCAGCUGACAGCCAGGCACUGACUGAGGCCAGCUUGCCUCACGCUCUUUCAGCCUGUAUCUUCUACAGGCUACAGAUCUUUGCGGGAUGAGACCUAGCUGAGGAUGAAACUGUCUGCCCCUCGAAGCUGGCACAUCUUGCGAAGCCAAAACUAGGUCUAAAUGAUGGCAUAUGUCCAGGAAAUGGUUUAUAUUGUUGCCUUUGUCUUUGUGGUUAUUAUGCGACAGCUGACACCUGUAUGUGCUUUGGGUUGGGGUAGGGCUUUGGAGCAGUUUCACAGUCUGAGCAAAGGCAAGAGGGAACCUAUUUUUUGUUCAAAGUGUGUUUUCCUGGGUGAUCCAUGUAAAUAGCCUAAUUACUGUAUGCUUCAGUUUACCUGUCUGUAAAUAAAUGGUAAUACCUUCUGUCCAGGUUUCUAUAACUGUCAUUAGAGAAACAACAACUCAUCUCUAAUAUAAGCAAAUGUACACUUCAGUAUGGCUUGGCAAGUGGCUAGCAGGAAUGAAACCCAUGUAUUAGUCUAGCUGUUGAGAGCUAGGUGGCACUUGCAGAUGUUGCUGUGUUCAGAGGAUUUAACCAAGGUUAACUUUUGUAAGCAGUGCAGUGUAUUGUGGCAGGAGAAGGCCAGAGGGUCAGAAACUGGCUGGCAGCUGAUUGCCUGUGAAAUUGUCUUACUUCCUUCUAAAUUAGGCAAAAGGAGGGGAUGGUGAACCAAGACUUUCUUUUCCUUUUGUCUGGACCAGAAUAGAUUGGUGAAAAGUCAGUCUGAGCAUUUCAGGAGCUGGAGCUGAAAUCUUCUUGGCUUUGCCUGGGUUGAUUGUCCAGAGAGGACUGCAAAGUUGCUAUAAAAUUUGUUCAUUGAUCCUUCCCAAAGUAUGAAGAGUAAGUGAUAAUUUAGUCAUUUGUCCAAAAUGAUUACUUGUCCAAGAAGAAUAAAAUGUGCAGGAGUGCGCGAAUGAUAAACCUGAGUAGUGGAUAUGGCAGGAAAAGGUCUACUGCUAAUGCUGGUUUCAAGAAGUGUGAUCAGAUGCCUGGAUAUUUUCAA